CCCUAAACAUACACGUGUCUGAAAUCCACUGUCCAGGCCAGUACCUCUCGAACUGAAAAAUCAUAGUUACAGACACUACAACGUGCAUUGAAUCAUCUGUGGAUCUUGUUAAUUUGCAGAUUCUGAUUCAACGGGUCUGGGACGGAGCCUGGGAUUCUGCAUUUCUAAGAAGCCCCCAAGUAAUGCUGCUGGCCCACACUUAGUGAAAGUGCAGACCAGUGAGUAGAUCUCAAUCCUGACUGCACAUUAGAAUCACCUGGGGAGCUUUUAAAGCUGCCUUUCUAAGACUAGAGUGGUAUUUAGAAAGCUCUGCAGGUGGUUCUGACGUGCAGCCAGCAUUGGAGACCCACUAGUCUGGAGUAUGCUGCCCCUCAGAGAGGCGAGGUAACCCUUUGCACCUACCUUAUUUUUUGUCCUGGUAGAUCCUGGUGACCCUCCUUUCUCAGAUGAGGACACCGAGACCCAGAGAUUUUUCCUAACUUGCCCAAAGGUGCUGCCCCAGUUUCCUCAUCUGUAUAGUGAGGGCACAAGCAAAAUGAGUCAGAGCACAAGGACCUACUUUCUCCAGCUGCAAAGAUGACCUUAUGCUUCAUCUCUACACUCCCUCAGGAGGAAACUGAGGCCCAGAGCAUUGAGUGAUGUCACCCAGGCAGUAACUGGACAGGCUGAGAUUCAAAGCCGGGGCCAUGACUCUAGGCCUGAGAUGUAGGAGUGCGGCGAGCCACACCCGCCUCUCUCCGUGAGAUCCCGGAGGGGAUGUCUCCAUCGCUGAUGCAUCUCCACAUCAACCCCCUUUGUGGGCAGAUGGGGCGGGGUCUAUGGAGAGAGCCAGUGACUACGGCAGAAGUGACAUUAUAUGAAUUCCAAAGUCCAAUAAAAGAUAAUGAGGCUUCCACCUGGUUCCCUUGGGAUACUCAUUCUUGGAACCCAGCCACCAUGCUACCAGGAAGCCCAGGCCACAUGGAACGGUCACGGGUAGGUGUUCCAACUGAGGUCCCAGCUGACAGCCAGCAUCAAUUUCCAGACAAAUGUGUGUGAAAGCCUUCUAGGUAACUCCAGGCCCUGUCAUGGUCUGCCUGCAACUGUUUGAGAAAUCCUGAACAAGAACUGCCCUAGCUGAGCCCAGAGGCCCCCCAGAGCCAUGAGAGAUGAUAAUGCUUGGGGUGAUUUGAGAUGUAGCAUAGAUAACCGGGACAGCCUCCAUCCUCUCCCAGCUCACAUACACCUGAGUCCAGCCAGGGCCUGCUACGCAGGUGGUGCUAUUUCAAGUCACUAAUUCACAAGCCAUAUGAGCAUGUGUGCACAUACCCGACUAUCAGCCUAUUUAGGGAAAUUGAGGCCUCCCAAUCGUGCACAGAGAAGUCUCUAUCAGGGCAAGGAAAGACUUCAGCAUUUUGUAGUAACAGCCUUGUAUUGUGUGUGGAUUAAAGACAGACUGCAGAAUCAACCCAUGAUGGACACUUGGCCUUAAACAACUGACCUCUGGGCUCUCCCGAGCCCUGACAUUUUUUUAAAAAGCUUCAUUGAGAUAUAAUUCACAUACUACAGCCUUCACCUCUUUAAAGUAUACAAUCAAUGGUUUUAUCUACAGUUGUGUAACUAUCACUAUAAUUUUAAAACAUUUAAAAUCAUUGCUUUCUUUCUCUAUGGCUCUGUCUAGUCUGGACAUGUCAUAUGAAUGGAACCAUGCAAGAUGUGGUCUUUUGUGACUGGCUUCUUUCACUUAACGCAAUGUUCUCCAAGUUCAUCCAUGUUGUAUAUACAUCAUGCCUUUCUGCGGCUGAAUAAUAUUCUGUUGUAUGGAGAGACCACAUUUUGUUUAUCCUUCAUCAGUUGAUGGACCUUUGGGUUGUUUCCACCUUUUGGCUAUUCUGAAUCAUGUUGCAAUGAACAUUCAUGUACAAGUUUU